GGAGACGUCACGCAUAGUAUAAAUGACGUCACAUCCGGGCAGCUAGGUCUGUUGAGCAGUCGGAGCACCACGUGAAAGUCAUGAGCGUGAUGGAGUCCAGUGAGGGGACCCCGUGCAGUGAAGGAACGAGUCUGCAGGUACAGCACAAAUAGUUGUUUACGAUGGUAAUUUGUUGAAAUGACUAAGUACACCUCUUUGAAGGUAUAUUGAUAUUUAGUCUCACUAAAGCUGGUAUCUUAAUGCCGCCACUGAUUUGAAUGUAUUAAACCAUUUGUAUAUUAGAACUUAUGAAGUAUGCAAGACAUCACAAAUGUUUGGAGAAUUUGCCUCCUUUGUUUCAAUAACAAUCUGUCUUGAUUGCUUUAUACUAUUGACACCAUGUAUGCAUGUGUGCUCAUAACUGCUUUACGUGAGCGAUUUUAAGUCUAAUGUCCCAUUAUUUCCACUACUGUAUCCCUGAAGGAAAUGUCUUAAUUUUUUUAAUUAAAUUAACUCUUUACAGGACCGCAGAGAUGAAUUCCUCAGACAUGACUUGAACGCUGGUACUCAACUAUGACUGAGUUGCUAAAGUAAGUUUAGUUUUAUACCUGGUGGUGACGGUGCAUUGGGUGCGUGCAGACCUUUCCAGCGAGGCUCAGCCUGCCGUGGCUCUGUCCUUUCCUGUAGUGUCUGCUAGAGAGACGUGAGGCUGUUUGAGGCCCUGCUGUGGCCCCUCGCUGCAGGGUUAUAGGAAAACCUCAGACACGUGGACAGGAAACCUCCAUCUGUUGGUUAAAGGAAACCAGUCCCGGUUUCAAUCUGUAUUCAUUCUUAUUGUAGUCAUGGACGUGAUGUGGGAGUCCCGUGAGCCAGUGAGGAGACGCCGUGCCGCGAAGGAACGAGUCUGCAGGACCGCAGAGAUGAAUUCCUCAGACCUGACUUGACAGCUGGGACUCAACUAUGACUGAGUUGCUAAAGUAAGUUUAGUCAUAUAGCUGGUGGUGACGGUGCAUUGGGUGCGUGCAGACCUUUCCAGCGAGGCUCAGCCUGCCGUGGCUCCGUCCUUUCCUGUAGUGUCUGCUAGAGAGACGUGAGGCUGUUUGAGGCCCGGCCGUGACUCUUUAUGGCCUGGUUAUAGGUAAACCUCCGACAUUUACUGUCUUGUGCUUCCAGACGGAUGAUGUUCUCAGCUUGCUGCUCAGUUGUCUCUUCACUCUUUAAUCCUGUUUUUUUGCUGCACAGGAACAGAUUCCAGUCAAAUCUGAGGCCUUGAGCUGCCGUUGAGUCCACUUACGCCAUUGUGCACAGCUUCCAGCUGGGUUCAAUGAGCCGUUUCAUGGUCUUCUGCUGUGUUGAACCGGAGAACUAAAAGUGUCCAUAAGCAGAACUUUGACGCAGGUGAGCAUGCAGUAUUCCAACAGGCUGAUGGCUUAUUUUUUACAGUAAAAAAUUGAUUAUUUUAUUUGUUUGCAGAUUUCAUCAGAGUUGGAGAGUUCAUCUGCUGAAGGAAAACAAAUGUAGCAUUUCUGUGUACAGUUGCUGUUAUUCCGCUUCUAAAUAUAAAAAACAUUCUUGUAAUGGCUUCCCUGGUCUUUCUCACGUUGGGUUUAGUGCAAUGAUGUUAGUUGAUGUGCUGUUGGCUCAAUGUUUUGGUGAGUUCUGCAUUAGACUGUUAAGGCCACUCGCCUUUGACAAUGCAGAGACCAGACGUUUAACUUUCACUUACUCAACAAGAACACUGUACGGCACCGAAGAACUUCAUACAUUACAGCACUGGUGCCGCUCACAUGCGCUGAUGGACACGUUGGUCAGACAACGAGGGACAAGUGGAGGCUCUGCUAGUUAAAAGGAUUUUUGGGCCAAUGUUGGAUUGCGUUCAAAUAACUGUCCUUGCUGUCUUCAUAAAGGUUUACACAUUUUAUAUUUCAAUAUGAUUACGAAGUUGACAAAUUAAACCUUGACCUACAUGUAUAGUAUCCAAUAAAUUCUAGUUUGUAGUAAACUCUACAUUAACAGUAGAGGACCAAUUUAGUUGAGGCUGAUUCUCUCAACGGACGUGCUGCACAUAUGUAACGGAGUGCCACAUUGAGGUACAAAAUAUGGG
ensembl:lncRNA